GUUUGGCACAAACCUCUGUCAAGAUGGGCUGUGAAGUGACCUACUAGUAUGUUAUAGACUUGCAGUUUCAAGCAAGGCCAGCCUAAGGAUGACAGUAACGCUGGAGGGUCUUGUUCCACUCCGGUCAUCCACUCUAUAGGGCCGGCAACCUGCUUGCAUUAGUUCACACAGGUCUCCCUAUGCAUGGACAAGAAGCCGUUGCUUCUAGAAAAGGCGUAUGUGUCCCAAGCCAAUGGAAAGAAGACUUUCAGGACCCCCAGCUCUAUCUAAGCAUUACAGAUAAGAAGAAAGCUUGCUCUAAGAGGAGAGUUAAGGUGAGAGACUUUCAAGUAUGAAUACGCAGAACUCCAUCCAGCUGGAAAGAGAGCACACAGUUGCAUAUUUUAGUUGUGGGUCCUUCUAGUUGUGGCAUGUGGGACACCGCCUCAGGAUGGCCUAAUGAGCCGUGCCAUGUCCGUGGCCAGGAUCCGAACUGGCGAAAUCCUGGGCUGCCAAAGUGGAGCGCACGAACUUAACCACUCGGCCAUGGGGCCAGCCCUAGGAGCCAGCAUUUUUUUAAUGGAAUGUCAUGGAUUGGAGUGCAUCACAUAGCUUAGGGCUCUUGCUGCCA
rnacentral:lncRNA from 1 species